CGGUCCUUGGUUGUAUUUUUGUUAAGCACACUGGUUUUCUGUUGGUUGGCCUCCAGCCAGGAGGUGGCGCUUUCAAGAUUACAUCAGCUGCUGUUGUAUAGGGAGGAUACAAGCUUGCCCUAGGGUAAGGUGGGGCCACAGAGCUUCCAAGGGAUUAUGCCCUUCAUCUUUGGCUACCAGGUUGGGUAGAGAAAGACCAUCAGGUGGCCGGGUGCAGUGGCUCAUGCCUGUAAUCCCAGCACUUUGAGAAGCCAAGGCUGACGGAUCACGAGGAAUGCCUGUUACUAUGCAUCUAACAAAGGACUAAAAUCCAGAAUCUACAAGGAACUAAACUCAACAAGAAAAAAUAAUCUCAUUAACAAGUGGGGAAAAGAUAGGAACAGACAUUUCUCAAAAGAAGAUAUACAAGAGGACAAGAAACAUAAAAUAAAAUGCUCAAUAUCACUAACCGUCAGUGAAAUGCAAGUUAAAACCACAAUGAGAUGCCACAUCACACCGGUCGGAAUGGCCAUUAUUAAAAAGUCAAAAAACCACAGAUGUCGACAAAGAUGCAGAGAAAAGGGAGCACUUAUACACCGUUGGUGCGAAUAUGAAUUAGUACAACCUCUAUGGACAACAGUAUAGAGAUUUCUCAAAGAAGUAAAAAUAGAACCACCAUUAGGCCCAGCAAUCCCACUACUGGGUAUCUACCCAAAGAAAGAGAAAUUGUUAUAUAUAUAUAUCUGCACUCAUAUGUUUAUCACUGCACUAGUCGCAGUAACAAAGUCAUGGAAUGAACCUAAGUUUCCAUCAAAAGAUGAUUGGAUAAAGAAAAUGUGGAAUACCAUGAAAUACUACACAUCCGUAGAAAAAAAAUUAUGUCUUCUGCAGCAACAUGGAUGUAACUGGAGGUCAAAAUACUCAGAAACACAACAUCAAAUACCACAUGUUCUCACUUAUAAAUGGGAGACAUGUACAAACAGAGAAAAAUAGUCAAGGCUGGGGACUUUAAAAGAGGGGCUUGGGAGGGACUUGAGAGUUGAAAAAUUACCUACUGGAUACAAUGUUCAUUAUUCAGGUAAUAGGAACAUUAGAAGCCCAAAUCUCAGCUUUCCACAAUAUAUCCAUGUGACAAAUCUGCAUAUAUACCCACUGAAUCUAUAAAAAUAAAAUGAAUAAAUUUUAAAAAGCAUGUUUCAACACUUCAUAGAAACUCUACAGUUUGGUUAUUAACAUAGAAUCUUCUAGGUCUCAUGGUCAAGUAGCAACAGAGCUAAAUCUAUUCCUAAGAGUUCUUUUUCUAUGAACCUCAAAACUGACAGCCUUAAGAAUUAUCUAACUAAUAGGCUAAAACAAUAUUCUUAAACAUGAUAUAUUCUUCCUCCAAAAUCCAAGAAGUUCCACACAAGACUGUGCCUUUUUGUUGGAGGUAGUAGGUACAAAGAAAAAUAACUUGACCUUGAGUUUAGAGUACAUAUUCUGAUGUGGACUAGAUCAUUAAAUCACUAAAGUAAUAACCAAUAUGGCAGUGUAAUUAUGAUUAUAGGUUUUAUCUCUGACUCUUGGCAGCCAUGUUUGCUAGGAAAUUAUUUGCCAUGGUCUGCUCACCAAAUCCAAUUUACACAAUAUUAUUACAAUAGAGGGCCACAAUGAUGCUCUGUUGAAUGCCAAGAUGAAAACGGUAUCUUCUUCUAGAGAGGAUGGAGGUAGUCUACCCCUGUGAUACGAUAGUGAGUGUUGUCUAUAUUUUCCUAGGUGAAUUUGAACUACUACAUUUACACUCUUUGUGCGAUUAAAAAGGACGUAUCUUCCAGAUCAAUAAAAGCUUACCAAAAGUUACAGUAGGUAUUGAUCUCUUCUGGUAAUGAUAUUACAUCCAGCACAGAGCUGCAAUUGAGUUUUCACAUGCUUAAUUAUGCCGUAGUUCUCUGUCGUCUGCCAUGA
rnacentral:lncRNA from 10 species